rnacentral:rRNA from 1 species
AUGCGACUGAUCUUCUAUCUGCUGCUGCCGCGUGCCGUGCUUCUGGAUCUAGGCGAGCAGGGCGGCAUGAUCUUCUUGGUGGGUGUGGAGGAUGAGGAGAAUGGCAGUGAGGGAAGGAACAGCGAGGCUGGAGUUCCAGACGGUGCUGGCCAUGGUACCUGUCCCCAAUCUAGGUUCGAAGAUAUAAAUCUAAUUGAUAUAUUGUCGAUGGGGAUUAAGUACUGUAAUGAUAUACCUGAGAAUUUUGAUGAUAUAUCUGCUACCAGCUACGAAGUUCAUUGUGUGAUGCCUACAAGUUAUUGGUCUUAUUUUUGGUGUAAAGCUGCAGGCCGAGUUCAGAUUGUUCUUUUGACAGAAAUGGAACAGGUAAUGCUACAGCCUAAGCAUUGUAUAGUAUAA